ACAUUAAGCUUACUUUGAGGU
rnacentral:piRNA from 1 species